GAUGAAGAACGCAGCGAAAUGCGAUACUUGGUGUGAAUUGCAGAAUCCCGUGAAUCAUCGAGUCUUUGAACGCACAUUGCGCCCUCUGGUAUUCCGGAGGGCAUGCCUGUCCGAGCGUCAUUGCUGCCCUCAAGCACGGCUUGUGUGUUGGGCCCCGCCCCCCGAUCCCGGGGGGCGGGCCCGAAAGGCAGCGGCGGCACCGCGUCCGGUCCUCGAGCGUAUGGGGCUUUGUCACCCGCUCUGUAGGCCCGGCCGGCGCUUGCCGAUCAACCAAACUUUUUUCCAGGUUGACCUCGGAUCAGGUAGGGAUACCCGCUGAACUUAAGCAUAUCAAUAAGCGGAGGA
rnacentral:misc_RNA from 1 species